rnacentral:misc_RNA from 1 species
AGCUGUCAAGCCAAAAACCAAAAAUCUUAGCUCUCUCCUCCUCCUUGAAGUUGAAGCCAACAGGAUCAAACCAAUCUGAAUUGAAAUCGUUUCUACAUUGAUAUCGAGAUUGAUUGGUUGAUUGGAGAGAUUCGGAGAAAUGGCACCUGUUUCAGCUCUGGCAAAAUAUAAGCUUGUAUUCUUGGGGGACCAAUCAGUGGGCAAAACAAGCAU